CACUGCGCGGCACUGCGCGGCAGGGCGCGGCGCGGCGGCCGCCCCGGGGGGCCCCGCCCGCCCGCCGAGAGCGGAAGGCAGCGCAGAGCCCGGCGGCUGCGCCCGUGCCGCGGAGCCCACCGGCCGUCCCCUCCAGGGGCACCCACCCAUCUGUAGGGAGAGGGGACGGCACCAGCAAGCCGGUUUCAGCACCUUCAAAGAGGCGUCCUGCGAAAUGUUAACCUAGGGGAGAGAUGGAUAGAAACCAGUAUUCGCCACCACCAGCAGCAACCCCAUGAGGAGCUGCCUUCUGUAUUUCUGCAGCGUUGUCAGUAUCCAGAUAUCUGGGCACCAAAGAAAUCCCAACUCGUACAUUGCAAUCCGAUUUAAGCCAGUGCCGCAGGAGUUAAAACACCGGUGAGGCUGCCUGCUUUCCGCAGAGCCGGGGCUGCAGCAGAGAGAAGGACAAGAAGCAGGGCCGAGGUUUCGCCGUGUCCGCAGCUCAGCCAAGCUGUUGUUUUAAAAGAGCAAUAAAAAUGAAUUAUGACUAAACGCCUUCUCACUUAAUGGUUUUAGACGGGGAUCCCCAUCCCCGGCAAAUACGGCUGUUUUCUGGGACCACUCAGCACGUGAGCAAUAAUCAAAUGCAUUCUCUGUGAGCUUUUAUAUUUUUAAGGUACGCUUCCUGAAAAAGCUUGCUGGCUGCUAAGCAUUGCAUGCUAGAAAAAUAUGAUUUUUUUUUCUAAAUCAGCCCUUCGUGUAUGUAACAGGCUAGUUUCUACAGGAAGCACUUUUCCUACCGACUCUAGCUUAUGUUUUGUCUGCAACAAAAAGUGCACGUUUCUGCUUUCGUUACAGUUCAGAAUAUCCAAGCUUUGUAUCGACACAGAGAUAACAUGCUACGUUUAUAUAUUAAAAGGAAGAAGUAGCCCUCUAAGUUGUGAAUGGUUUUAGUUUGUUUUUUUUUUCUUGUGAGAACUCUUGCAAUAAAGAAUUUGAAUGUG